AGCUGUGCUUUUGCCUUUUCACAUCUUAUUUCCAUCCUCUCCCUCCCCCGGGCGUUUCCCGCAGCUGGAUGGUUGUUGGUACCAAAGGUGUGGUGGAGGAGAAGGAAAAGACCUGAUUGCUGUGGAGCAAAUUCCCCAUCCAUGGCAUCAUCCAGGUAUGUCGUGGUGCACAAACCAUGGAUGACAGGCUACAGAGGCUGCAGCUGCAGCUUUCCCACAG
rnacentral:lncRNA from 1 species